CCAGGAUAACCCCUCAGGAGGCACCAGCGGAAUGAUCUUCCAGUCCUGGGUGGAAGGAUGGGCUCCAGCUGUCCCUGAUGGACCCCAAGAGACUUCCAGCCCCCUCUGAAGGGCUGUUUGCUGUCAUCAAUCCUGGAGGAGCCCGUGGGGGCCAGGAGAGGAGUGACACCAGAGAUUUGUCCUAUUGAUUAACCCGGGAUGGGAGGAAUCAAACACCAGGAGCAGACAAACACCUGGGAGGAGAGCAGGGCAAUUGUCAGGAACAAACAAGAGCAAAAGGAGGAUCAUAUUAUUUUGCCUGAAAUUUGGAGUGGAUCAGACCCCUGCUGUUCCAAGCCCCUGCAAUGAAUGGCUAUAAACAAGAUGCAUUUCCAGAGAAUGAAUUAAACACUGAGCCUGAGUACUGACUGUGUUUGAGAGAUGUUUAUUUGUCCUUGCUCCAUAAAGAGUUGCACAAGGACUUACUAAAUUUUAACCCCACACUGUUCUUGGGUAAAUAAUGCCUCUUAUCCAACGUCAGGAGUGCUCAGAGCUGAGAUAAGCUCAGGUUGGCUCGUGCUCUCUGGAGCAUUCAGCCUCUUGGAACCAGCUUCCCACAGACCCCAGGGCAUCCACAUAAUUCCCAACAGCCUCCAAACCUCUGGCAG